rnacentral:lncRNA from 1 species
UCUAGCUGCACUGGUUUUGAAAAGUAAAAAAUGCUUUCUGAUUAUUUUGCCUUAACUGUCUUGAAGAAUGUUGGGGUUUUUUAUGAGACAGAUUUCCUUUGGAAUAACCUGUGUCUGGUUAGGAAGACUAAGGUGGAAAGAAAUGGCUCCAUCCCACUCAAGAUGACACAUGCAGCUCAAAAAAGUGGGAACUUUGAGCUGGUUGGAAGUCAAGCUGAACCACAACCUCCCUUGAGGUGGGGAGAAUGGAUGAGAAAUAGAAGACUGUGUCUUAAAAUGGAAUUCAAGACAAGGGGAAGAAACAGAGGGAAUCCACUCUGUUGGAAAUAUACUUUCUUCAAUUACCUGCUUUCAAAUGAAAGGAAAAAGUAGAUUGCUUAACCUGAAAAGGUGGCUGAACAACAGGUCACCUGGAGAAAUCUUUACACACUUCCAAUGUUCUCUGAGGGGACAUUUUGGAUCAGAAGAAAAUGGAGAUCUAAUCUGAUGGUAACUUGUUUGUUCCUUGGGUUCAUUAUUUGGUGUUUUCUGAUAUUAACUGUAACCUACUCUAGUAAGAGAAAUCACCAUCACUUAUUCCAGUGGCAAUGGUUUGAUGGAAAAUGUGACUGCAAUAUCGUUCUGUAUGAAAGACAAACUGUGAGUGUUUGAUCAGUGUACAAAGAAGAAGAAAAUAUAUAUGAGGCAAUAAAAAAAUAGGAGCUAGAGCUAAAAGUUAAACA